rnacentral:rRNA from 1 species
UACGUAGGCAGCGAGCGUUGUUCGGAGUUACUGGGCGUAAAGGGUGUGUAGGCGGUUGUUUAAGUUUGGUGUGAAAUCUCCCGGCUCAACUGGGAGGGUGCGCCGAAUACUGAGCGACUAGAGUGCGGGAGAGGAAAGUGGAAUUCCUGGUGUAGCGGUGAAAUGCGUAGAUAUCAGGAGGAACACCGGUGGUGUAGACGGCUUUCUGGACCGUAACUGACGCUGAGACACGGAAGCGUGGGUAGCAAACAGG